GAGGUUUGGAAAGACCCACCAAAGAAGGUAAUAGGAAUGAAUGUGAAACGAGAAGACAUAAGAAAAGAAAAAGAGUAAAAAGGGAAAAGUGAAAAAAUGGGGGAAGAAGGAGGGAAAAACCAAAAAGGCGAAAAAAAAACUAGUGACCGAUAGCGUAUAGUACCGUGAGGGAAAGGGGAAAAGAACCCCGGGAGGGGAGUGAAAUAGAACCUGAAACCCUGAAAUUACAAGCUGUGGAAGCACAUUUCAUGUGUGACCGCGUACUUUUUGUAGUACGGGCCAACGAGUUACGUUAAGUAGCAAGGUUAAGCACUUAAGGUG
rnacentral:rRNA from 1 species